CUGCCAUAACUCAGGAAGAGUUUGGACUCACAGCAAAAGUUGGUUCUACAAGGGUUAAUUUGUUGGAACUACCUUGGGGAUAGAAAUAUUUGGAAGCUCUGGAAUUCCUGCAUCUCCAAGUCCUCCCUCAAUGAAAUUGAAGAAGCACCUUUCUACCCCGUUAGAAACAAGGCUACAGAAAAGCUGUCCACUAGAUGUCACUGGUACUUCACUGAAAUAAGACUGAAAGCGCCGUGUCUGGUAGUCUUAGAGGUGAUGCACAGACUUUUCAGUGCUCUGUGCAAGAUGAAAGCAAGCAAGUGGAUAAUCUUUUCUGGAGAUGAUUCCAUAUUUUUACUCCAUUAGGAAUAAUUUCCUGAGGUGUGGUGGCCAGCUGUGCACACAGUGUAAACAAUAGAGGAUGCAAGUACUUGGUGAGUGUUUCCACUGGGAAGCUGUGAGUGGUGAAGAUCAGACAGACAUCCCAGUUAGAAAAUGGGAUCCUCUCUUCUCAGUGUUCCCAUCGAGGUUCUACAGGUCUCAUCUCUGUGCUUGGAAUUUUGGCCAUGACAAGAAUGGGAGUAUUUAGUGGCUCUGAUAGCCUGCAGGAAAUGUUCUGUGUAUGCUUUAGUGAGUAUGUAUUCUUCUGGGUAUAUGCUUCCUCUCUCUCCUGACCCCAGCUUCUCUCUCUUUUAUUUUUUUUUUACCUUUUCAGGAUGGGCUGUAUUUUUUCAAAGUUUAGUGCUUGCUCAUAUUUUCAUUGUUCCCUAAGUGGCACAACUGAAGUAUUACAGGCUGGUCAUCAGAGCCCUUUUAACAAGGGAA
rnacentral:lncRNA from 1 species